UGUAAUCUGCUAUCACUGGUUGAAGUAGUCUAUAGAUGUCAAUUUUAUCCAGGUGAUUGAUGGUGCUAUUGAGUUCAGCUAUGUCCUUCCUGACUUCCUGCCUGCUGGGUCUGUCCAUUUCUGAGAGAGGGGUGUUGAAAGUUCUGACUAUGACGAGGAUGGAACUAGGCAUCCAGUGAUCUGCCCAGGGGCCCGGGGCUGGCGGUGUGGGCUGCUGAGCUUCACUUCCAGCCAGUCUGGCUCCGAGCUGAGCUUCUGGCCCCACUGCCUCCCGACAACAGGAGACACAGCACAGCAGCCUGGGUGCCUUAGAUCUCUGAAAAUCACCGCUGGGCCCUGACUGUGGUGUCACCCGGUGCCCACAGGCAGACCACUUGGCCACCCCGGGCCCUCCCUGUGCCGCUCAGUGACGGAACACGGGGGUGAGGCUGGAGCUGCUCAGAGACAGUCGGAGCGGCACAUGAGUGAAUAGCUCAGACGGCACACUUCCAGGGUCGUUGUAGAUAUAAUGAAGUUGAGAUGAGCUCAGCCCGCAAUAGAGUGGGCCCUAAAUCCGGUGACUGACCUGCUUAUGAGGGUCCCCGGGGAGACGGAUGAGACACAGGGAAGGAGCCUGUGCCAAGUGGAGGCAGAGACUGGAGGGGCGACUGGCAGCCACCAGGAGCCGGAAGUCCCCCGGAUUCUUCAGAGGGAGCGUGGCCCUGUGACACCUUGAUCUCAGACUCCCGGCCUCCAGAUUCGAAGAGAAUAAAUUUCUGUUGUUGGAGCCUCCCAGUGUGUGCUAGUCUGUUGUGGCCACAGGACAGGAGGGAGCACAGACCCCAGAGCCCCUCCUCAUCCUUAGCCCCAGGACCGCCCGGGGCAGAGGUGCACCUGCG